UUAACACAUGCAAGUCGAGCGGGCGUAGCAAUACGUCAGCGGCAGACGGGUGAGUAACGCGUGGGAACAUACCUUUUGGUUCGGAACAACACAGGGAAACUUGUGCUAAUACCGGAUAAGCCCUUACGGGGAAAGAUUUAUCGCCGAAAGAUUGGCCCGCGUCUGAUUAGCUAGUUGGUGAGGUAACGGCUCACCAAGGCGACGAUCAGUAGCUGGUCUGAGAGGAUGAUCAGCCACAUUGGGACUGAGACACGGCCCAAACUCCUACGGGAGGCAGCAGUGGGGAAUAUUGGACAAUGGGCGCAAGCCUGAUCCAGCCAUGCCGCGUGAGUGAUGAAGGCCCUAGGGUUGUAAAGCUCUUUUGUGCGGGAAGAUAAUGACGGUACCGCAAGAAUAAGCCCCGGCUAACUUCGUGCCAGCAGCCGCGGUAAU
rnacentral:rRNA from 1 species